rnacentral:rRNA from 1 species
UCCUGACUGACCGAUAGUGAACCAGUACCGUGAGGGAAAGGCGAAAAGAACCCCGGCGAGGGGAGUGAAAAAGAACCUGAAACCGUGUACGUACAAGCAGUGGGAGCACGCUUAGGCGUGUGACUGCGUACCUUUUGUAUAAUGGGUCAGCGACUUAUAUUCUGUAGCAAGGUUAACCGAAUAGGGGAGCCGAAGGGAAACCGAGUCUUAACUGGGCGUUAAGUUGCAGGGUAUAGACCCGAAACCCGGUGAUCUAGCCAUGGGCAGGUUGAAGGUUGGGUAACACUAACUGGAGGACCGAACCGACUAAUGUUGAAAAAUUAGCGGAUGACUUGUGGCUGGGGGUGAAAGGCCAAUCAAACCGGGAGAUAGCUGGUUCUCCCCGAAAGCUAUUUAGGUAGCGCCUCGUGAAUUCAUCUCCGGGGGUAGAGCACUGUUUCGGCAAGGGGGUCAUCCCGACUUACCAACCCGAUGCAAACUGCGAAUACCGGAGAAUGUUAUCACGGGAGACACACGGCGGGUGCUAACGUCCGUCGUGAAGAGGGAAACAACCCAGACCGCCAGCUAAGGUCCCAAAGUCAUGGUUAAGUGGGAAACGAUGUGGGAAGGCCCAGACAGCCAGGAUGUUGGCUUAGAAGCAGCCAUCAUUUAAAGAAAGCGUAAUAGCUCACUGGUCGAGUCGGCCUGCGCGGAAGAUGUAACGGGGCUAAACCAUGCACCGAAGCUGCGGCAGCGACGCUUAUGCGUUGUUGGGUAGGGGAGCGUUCUGUAAGCCUGCGAAGGUGUGCUGUGAGGCAUGCUGGAGGUAUCAGAAGUGCGAAUGCUGACAUAAGUAACGAUAAAGCGGGUGAAAAGCCCGCUCGCC